rnacentral:rRNA from 1 species
CCUACGGGGGGCAGCAGUGGGGAAUAUUGGACAAUGGGCGAAAGCCUGAUCCAGCCAUGCCGCGUGUGUGAAGAAGGCCUUCGGGUUGUAAAGCACUUUCAGUGGGGAAGAAAGCCUUGGGGCUAAUACCCUCGAGGAAGGACAUCACCCACAGAAGAAGCACCGGCUAACUCCGUGCCAGCAGCCGCGGUAAUACGGAGGGUGCGAGCGUUAAUCGGAAUUACUGGGCGUAAAGCGCGCGUAGGCGGUCUGAUAAGCCGGUUGUGAAAGCCCCGGGCUCAACCUGGGAACGGCAUCCGGAACUGUCAGGCUAGAGUGCUGGAGAGGAAGGUAGAAUUCCCGGUGUAGCGGUGAAAUGCGUAGAGAUCGGGAGGAAUACCAGUGGCGAAGGCGGCCUUCUGGACUGACACUGACGCUGAGGUGCGAAAGCGUGGGUAGCAAACAGGAUUAGAUACCCGAGUAGUC